UGCAGUGAAAUGAUACCAUUGUGUUUUUGCCACAUCAAGUGCAUUAAGCACCUGCAAUUGUUCCUUGGCCAUAUCUGGUAAUGCCCACUAACGAAAACGCUAUGGAUCUUUAGAUUGUAUAUCUUCAAAUGCAAGAACUGAACAAAAAGAUAUAUCAAGAUUCAAGAACACAGAGUCUUAUUGAACCAUUCCAAACAGGCAUGAACAGAACAACAA
rnacentral:misc_RNA from 1 species